rnacentral:rRNA from 1 species
UACGGGGGGGGCAAGCGUUUGUUCGGAAUUACUGGGCGUAAAGGGCUCGUAGGUGGCCAACUAAGUCAGACGUGAAAUCCCUCGGCUUAACCGGGGAACUGCGUCUGAUACUGGAUGGCUUGAGUUCGGGAGAGGGAUGCGGAAUUCCGCGUGUAGCAGUGAAAUGCGUAGAUAUGCGGAGGAACACCGAUGGCGAAGGCAGUCCCCUGGGCCUGUACUGACGCUCAUGCACGAAAGCGUGGGGAGCAAACAGG